AGCAGCCGCGGUAAUUCCAGCUCCAAUAGCGUAUAUUAAAGUUGUUGCAGUUAAAAAGCUCGUAGUUGAAUUUCGGGAUCAGUACGCUGGUCGUGCCUUUGGUAUGUACUGGUGUCACUGAUUCCUUCCUUCUGAAGAACCGUUAUGCCAUUUAUUUGGUGUGGCGGGGAAUCAGGACUGUUACUUUGAAAAAUUAGAGUGUUUAAAGCAGGCUCGCGCUUGAAUACAUUAGCAUGGAAUAAUGAAAUAGGACGUUUGAUUCUAUUUUGUUGGUUUCUAGGAUUGACGUAAUGAUUAAUAGGGAUAGUUGGGGGCAUUAGUAUUCAAUUGUCAGAGGUGAAAUUCUUGGAUUUAUUGAAGACUAACUACUGCGAGAGCAUUUGCCAAGGAUGUUUUCAUUAAUCAAGAACGAAAGUUAGGGGAUCGAAGACGAUCAGAUACCGUCGUAGU
rnacentral:rRNA from 1 species